rnacentral:siRNA from 1 species
CUUGCGAUUUUUAAAGACUACGAG